rnacentral:rRNA from 1 species
UUAAGCGACUAAGCGUACACGGUGGAUGCCCUGGCAGUCAGAGGCGAUGAAGGACGUGCUAAUCUGCGAAAAGCGUCGGUAAGGUGAUAUGAACCGUUACAGCCGGCGAUGUCCGAAUGGGGAAACCCAGUGCAAUUCGUUGCACUAUCGUUAACUGAAUACAUAGGUUAACGAGGCGAACCGGGGGAACUGAAACAUCUAAGUACCCCGAGGAAAAGAAAUCAACCGAGAUUCCCCCAGUAGCGGCGAGCGAACGGGGAGCAGCCCAGAGUCUGAAUCAGCUUGUGUGUUAGUGGAACGGUCUGGAAAGUCCGACGGUACAGGGUGAUAGUCCCGUACACCAAAAUGCACAGGCUGUGAACUCGAAGAGUAGGGCGGGACACGUGGUAUCCUGUCUGAAUAUGGGGGGACCAUCCUCCAAGGCUAAAUACUCCUGACUGACCGAUAGUGAACCAGUACCGUGAGGGAAAGGCGAAAAGAACCCCGGCGAGGGGAGUGAAAAAGAACCUGAAACCGUGUACGUACAAGCAGUGGGAGCACCUUCGGGUGUGACUGCGUACCUUUUGUAUAAUGGGUCAGCGACUUAUAUUCUGUAGCAAGGUUAACCGUAUAGGGGAGCCGCAGGGAAACCGAGUCUUAACUGGGCGUUAAGUUGCAGGGUAUAGACCCGAAACCCGGUGAUCUAGCCAUGGGCAGGUUGAAGGUUGGGUAACACUAACUGGAGGACCGAACCGACUAAUGUUGAAAAAUUAGCGGAUGACUUGUGGCUGGGGGUGAAAGGCCAAUCAAACCGGGAGAUAGCUGGUUCUCCCCGAAAGCUAUUUAGGUAGCGCCUCGUGAACUCAUCUUCGGGGGUAGAGCACUGUUUCGGCUAGGGGGUCAUCCCGACUUACCAACCCGAUGCAAACUACGAAUACCGAAGAAUGUUAUCACGGGAGACACACGGCGGGUGCUAACGUCCGUCGUGAAGAGGGAAACAACCCAGACCGCCAGCUAAGGUCCCAAAGUCAUGGUUAAGUGGGAAACGAUGUGGGAAGGCACAGACAGCCAGGAUGUUGGCUUAGAAGCAGCCAUCAUUUAAAGAAAGCGUAAUAGCUCACUGGUCGAGUCGGCCUGCGCGGAAGAUGUAACGGGGCUAAACCAUGCACCGAAGCUGCGGCAGCGACACUAUGUGUUGUUGGGUAGGGGAGCGUUCUGUAAGCCUGCGAAGGUGUGCUGUGAGGCAUGCUGGAGGUAUCAGAAGUGCGAAUGCUGACAUAAGUAACGAUAAAGCGGGUGAAAAGCCCGCUCGCCGGAAGACCAAGGGUUCCUGUCCAACGUUAAUCGGGGCAGGGUGAGUCGACCCCUAAGGCGAGGCCGAAAGGCGUAGUCGAUGGGAAACAGGUUAAUAUUCCUGUACUUGGUGUUACUGCGAAGGGGGGACGGAGAAGGCUAUGUUAGCCGGGCGACGGUUGUCCCGGUUUAAGCAUGUAGGCUGGUUAUCCAGGCAAAUCCGGAUAAUCAAGGCUGAGGUGUGAUGACGAGGCACUACGGUGCUGAAGUAACAAAUGCCCUGCUUCCAGGAAAAGCCUCUAAGCAUCAGGUAACAUCAAAUCGUACCCCAAACCGACACAGGUGGUCAGGUAGAGAAUACCAAGGCGCUUGAGAGAACUCGGGUGAAGGAACUAGGCAAAAUGGUGCCGUAACUUCGGGAGAAGGCACGCUGGUGUGUAGGUGAAGCCCCUGCGGGUGGAGCUGAGACCAGUCGAAGAUACCAGCUGGCUGCAACUGUUUAUUAAAAACACAGCACUGUGCAAACACGAAAGUGGACGUAUACGGUGUGACGCCUGCCCGGUGCCGGAAGGUUAAUUGAUGGGGUUAUCCGUAAGGAGAAGCUCUUGAUCGAAGCCCCGGUAAACGGCGGCCGUAACUAUAACGGUCCUAAGGUAGCGAAAUUCCUUGUCGGGUAAGUUCCGACCUGCACGAAUGGCGUAAUGAUGGCCAGGCUGUCUCCACCCGAGACUCAGUGAAAUUGAACUCGCUGUGAAGAUGCAGUGUACCCGCGGCAAGACGGAAAGACCCCGUGAACCUUUACUAUAGCUUGACACUGAACAUUGAGCCUUGAUGUGUAGGAUAGGUGGGAGGCUUUGAAGCGUGGACGCCAGUCUGCGUGGAGCCAACCUUGAAAUACCACCCUUUAAUGUUUGAUGUUCUAACGUUGGCCCCUUACCGGGGUUGCGGACAGUGUCUGGUGGGUAGUUUGACUGGGGCGGUCUCCUCCCAAAGCGUAACGGAGGAGCACGAAGGUUAGCUAAUCCUGGUCGGACAUCAGGAGGUUAGUGCAAUGGCAUAAGCUAGCUUGACUGCGAGCGUGACGGCGCGAGCAGGUGCGAAAGCAGGUCAUAGUGAUCCGGUGGUUCUGAAUGGAAGGGCCAUCGCUCAACGGAUAAAAGGUACUCCGGGGAUAACAGGCUGAUACCGCCCAAGAGUUCAUAUCGACGGCGGUGUUUGGCACCUCGAUGUCGGCUCAUCACAUCCUGGGGCUGAAGUAGGUCCCAAGGGUAUGGCUGUUCGCCAUUUAAAGUGGUACGCGAGCUGGGUUUAGAACGUCGUGAGACAGUUCGGUCCCUAUCUGCCGUGGGCGCUGGAGAAUUGAGGGGGGCUGCUCCUAGUACGAGAGGACCGGAGUGGACGCAUCACUGGUGUUCGGGUUGUCAUGCCAAUGGCACUGCCCGGUAGCUAAAUGCGGAAGAGAUAAGUGCUGAAAGCAUCUAAGCACGAAACUUGCCCCGAGAUGAGUUCUCCCUGAGACUAUAAGUCUCCUGAAGGAACGUUGAAGACGACGACGUUGAUAGGCCGGGUGUGUAAGCGCAGCGAUGCGUUGAGCUAACCGGUACUAAUGAACCGUGAGGCUUAACCUU